GGUCGAUUGGUCUAGUGGUAUGAUUCUCGCUUAGGGCAUUACCCUAAGUACAAAAUGCGAGAGGCCCCGGAUUCGAAUUCCGGAUCGACCC